GACGAACGCUGGCGGCGUGCCUAAUACAUGCAAGUCGAACGCAGUGGGGACUGGUGAGUAACACGUGGGUAACCUCCCAUCAGAGGGGAUAACACUUGGAAACAGGUGCUAAACCGAUACUGAUGGAUGGACCCGCGGUGCAUUAGCUAGUUGGUGAGGUAACGGCUCACCAAGGCCACGAUGCAUAGCCGACCAUAGAGGGUGAUGGGCCACACUGUGACUGGGAAAAGUCCCAGACUCCGACGGUAGGCAGCAGUAGGGAAGCUUCGGCAAUGGACGAAAGUCUGACCGAUCAACGCCGCGUGAGUGAAGAAGGUUUUCGGAUAGUAAAACUCUGUUGUUAGAGAAGCGGUAUCUAACCAGAAAGCCACGGCGAACUACGGGCCAGCAGCCGCGGUAAUAC
rnacentral:rRNA from 1 species